rnacentral:ncRNA from 1 species
AUAGGUUUGGUCCUAGCCUUUCUAUUAGUUACUAGCAAACUUACACAUGCAAGAAUCCUCGCCCCAGUGAGAAUGCCCUCUAUGUCGUUAGCGACAAAAAGGAGCUGGUAUCAAGCACGCCAACAGGCAGCUCAUGACACCUCGCUCAGCCACGCCCCCACGGGACACAGCAGUGAUAAAAAUUAAGCAAUAGACGAAAGUCUGACUAAGUUAUGCUACUAAGGACUGGUCAAUCUCGUGCCAGCCACCGCGGUCAUACGAUUGGGCCAAACUAAUAGAUACUCGGCGUAAAGCGUGUUGUAGGAAUCAAUUAACCAAUAAAAUCAAGUCUUAACUAAGCUGUAAAAAGCCUCAGUUACUAUAAGAUAAACUACGAAAGUGAUUUUAAAAAACCUGAUUACACGAUAGCUAAGACCCAAACUGGGAUUAGAUACCCCACUAUGCUUAGCCCUAAACAUAAAAAAAUUCAUAAACAAAAUUAUUCGCCAGAGUACUACAAGCAACAGCUUAAAACUCAAAGGACUUGGCGGUGCCUUAUAUCCCUCUAGAGGAGCCUGUUCUAUAAUCGAUAAACCCCGAUACACCUCACCAAUCUUUGCCAAAUCAGCCUAUAUACCGCCAUCUUCAGCAAACCCUAAAAAGGUAAUAAAGUAAGCACAAGUAUUAACAUAAAAACGUUAGGUCAAGGUGUAGCCUAUAGAUUGGAAAGAAAUGGGCUACAUUCCCCGGCUCGGGGAAUGCUAAUAACGAAAACCUAUGUGAAACCAAAAGUUAAAGGUGGAUUUAGCAGUAAACUAAGAAUAGAGUGCUUAGUUGAAUACGGCCAUAAGGCACGCACACACCGCCCGUCACCCUCCUCAAAUAAAACAAUACUAAACACAAUACAAACAAUAGCUAAGUAUCAAACUAUAAGAGGAGAUAAGUCGUAACAAGGUAAGUGUACUGGAAAGUGCACUUGGAUAAUA